UGUAGCUGGCAAGUGAGGCUCAGGAUCUCUGACAGCCCUUCUAAAGCACUUCCAGAGGGUAGCACGUUACCUCUCAGAUCUGAAAUGGCAUGAGGCACCCAAGUUUCAGAGAACCACCAAACAACAUCAAGAUUCUUACCCAAACUCCAAUGCAAGAUUUUUCAAAGAGGAAGAGUGAGGAAAUACUGAUCAGGCUCCAACACUGUGAGAUGACAUGCCUUGACAGGUACAGGCCACCAUUAAGGAUGAUGCAUUCCUUUUGUUAUCUGACAGAAAUAUUGCAAUAAUCUCUGCUAAAAAAUGUUAAAAGCAAAUCCUGUGACACUUCUCCAAAUUCUGAAGGAAUGAGAAUGUAACUGAAAUGUACCUCUAAUAUUAGGAUAUGAAACUCUGUUCUCAAAUGUCAAUAGCUGCAGGCUA